rnacentral:misc_RNA from 1 species
AGGCUCGUUCGCGGCGCGUCCCUUCCUCCCGGUCCCCCCUCCGUUCUGGAGGGGGCGUCGGGUGGGGGGGCGUUUGCCCGUUCAGCGUUGGGACGACGCAUUAGUGGCAAAUCAGGAUUUGUCUCCGCGGCGGGCUCCGUGCUUCGGGCACCGAACUGCCUCGGUCCUAUCCGUUUCAUUUAAUCGCUCGCCCCGUGUGUCGGUCGCGGGCGCUGGGUGGGUUCCUGCGCCAGAUACCCGGCUGCGGUAGCCGGAUUCGUUGUCGUCCCUGAUUGGUUCCCUUGUCCCCACACCGCACCCAGUGCGUUGGGGGAUGCCGUGCGGGUGUCGUCGCUCCCCGUCCGGUCGGUCGCCCUACUCCUGGGCCUUUCCGCCCGCGUCGGUGCGCGAUGCCGUCCGCGUGCUCUCGGGUACGGUGAAAGCUCUUGAUAUCGCGCGGUCCCUCGUUGUCCGUGCGAUCCCUACGUGACGAACCUCUGCUUCCGCUCGGGGGACGCUAGUGCUUCCCUCGGGGCUCGCGGAGCCUCUCCGCUCCGCGCUCGUCCUUUGGGUCGCGUCGAGGUCCUAUAAGUGAAUGCUACCUGGUUGAUCCUGCCAGUAGGUUUUUUUUAAGCUGC